GAUGUGGUGUACAGAAUCUUGCAAAAAUGGAGGAUAUGGAUUUGGGGCGCGAACUGUCCCGACCACGGCGGUGCUGCCUACCAACACCAUGUGCAAGACUGCCUGACUUGUCCUCUAUCUUAAUGUUGUCAGCAAGAAGUUACUCCAAAUUCCAUCGCCUAACAAUAUCAUCAGUUGUAAGAAGUUAGGAGUUUGGUACGUACCCCGGUGCAAGAGACCAUGGAUGCAAAAGGUACUUCUGCUAGAGUAAGAUUAGAUAGUCAAAUUGUAGACAAACAGCAGUGUGCAUUGGCAUUGCAACUUCUGACAUGGGAUAUUUGUGUAGUCAGAUAAUUAGGAACCUGGACUACAAGGGCAAAUGGGAGGCACCUUUCAUCGACAUUCAGCCCAGGGAACCUCAACUUUCCCACUGUUGUACAUUCAUACUACUGUCCAUGUAUCGCUUCUGCUCAACUAUAAUACACGGAAACAUGAAAGCUCAUGUUUUUCCCUUGUUUGUGCAGAGUACAAGGAUGAUUCCUACAUCUAUGCAUUGAUAUGCUGAACCACAUUGGCAUUGAGCCAAGCCAGAUGUCUGAUGUAGACAACUAAGGCAAUGGCUAUUGCAUUGUAGGACGAGAAGGUCCAACGCGGUGGCGGCGGGUACAUACCCAACGCGGCGACCCGUGGGCGCACCGGUUCUAGGGCCUUGAGAGCUGG